rnacentral:other from 1 species
AGUUGCCUGCGGUAUACGUUAACUUUUAUAUGUCCAACCUACUUUUAUAAAUGGGGAAUCUAAUUGCUGCUUGGCUGUCGAGCCAUCUUCGAGUGGAUGACAAAAGCGCGGCUAGGAUGCCCACCUGCUAGUUGCAGGUUUGGACAUAUAAAAGAAACGACAUUUUGGGCUUUAA